AUUGAACGCUGGCGGCAGGCCUAACACAUGCAAGUCGAACGAGUGGCGGACGGGUGAGUAAUGUCUGGGAAACUGCCUGAUGGAGGGGGAUAACUACUGGAAACGGUAGCUAAUACCGCAUACCAUCAGAUGUGCCCAGAUGGGAUUAGCUUGUUGGGGGGGUAACGGCUCACCAAGGCGACGAUCCCUAGCUGGUCUGAGAGGAUGACCAGCCAAACUGGAACUGGAGCACCGGCCAGAAUCCUACGGGAGGCAGCAGGUGGGAAUAUUGCACAAUGGGGGCAAGCCUGAUGGAGCCAUGCCGCGUGUAUGAAGAAGGCCUUCGGGUUGUAAAGUACUUUCAGCGGGGAGGCGUUACCCGCAGAAGAAGCCCCGGCUAACUCCGUGCCAGCCGCCGCGGUAAUUC
rnacentral:rRNA from 1 species